rnacentral:lncRNA from 1 species
CCAGCACACACAGGACCUCCGUGGCUGUCCGUGUGUGUCCGUGUGUGUUCGUCUGUGUCCGUCAGCAAACACAGGACGUCCGUUGUAAGACCCGAUCCCGGCCGACUAGGCCGCGGUCGAUGCCUCACGUCGCUCAGUCCAUACCCGGACCGAACCUCUUAAAAUUUUGCCCUUUAUUUAAAAUAUCGCCCAUUGGCGAGGGCUAACUUAGAUCCUAGCUCAAGACUACCUUAGUCAUUCCCUAGCUAGAUCCUUUCAACUUAUGCACAGCGGAAUAGUAUCUACUUAACCAUUGGUCUAUAACCAAUAUAAUUCUUGUCUGGUCGAAUCACCUCGGCUAAUGGUUAGUAUACUCAACUACCAGCUAGCUCCAAGGUCAAUCCUGAACCCAAAUCAAGGCAUACAAAUCUGAGGUUCCAUUCCCCUAACCAUUCUAUCUAGAUCUAUGCAACAUUGCUAGAUCAUACCUUUGCCACAUCCACGGAGCUUGUUAGCUCAUCGGCCCAGCUACUCUAGCGGAAUGAACUCAUAAACCAGCUGAUCGAGCUGUCACACUCGAACUGAGC